CUAUCUUAAGUGAUUGAAGAUAGUUGAUGUAUAUUUAUUUUCUCAAAAGUCACAUUUUUUGCAAGUUUGGUUUACUUUGGAUUUAUUAAAGAUAAUACCAGUUCACUUAUUGAUUCCAUUCAUUCCCGAAAAAAUUCUUUAAAAUAAUUUAGUUUAACACCAAGAAUCGCUUUGAGGAUUUAUCUCCUUAAGGGUUGUCGGAACCAUAUACUGAACAUCUACAAUACGUUUGAUCAUAGUUAACUUUACAAUGAUCUAGUUGAUAGUCUUCCUAUUUGUUGAGCUUCUCUUUUAGAUUGAAGGAAAGGGAAAGACUUGGCUAGGUUGUGGCAAGCAAACUUCUUCGCUAUUAUGUGGAGAAAUUUAGAGGGGAGGAUAGGGAGUUAGAGAGUUUUUUUGGAAAAAAAAAAAAAAAGAGACGGGACUUUACAUUAAGAGAAUGAAAAAAAAGACCAAUGUUCAAAGAAGUGAAAAAGAGCAACAUAGCACAAAAAAAAGACAUAGGAACAUAAUGCAAAAAGUAAGCUAGAGAGGUGAUAAGGAUAAUUAGUAUAUUUUAGUUAAUUGGUUAAUUGUCUUAUUUUCCUGUAAGGCUAUAGAUAGCCAAUUUAGAGUGUAUUUGAACCUCUUGAAUAUCUUUCCAAUAUAGAACGUUGUUCUUGGAGAGCUUUUUCUCAUCUCUAAGGAAUGAGAUUUCUCUUGUUCCAGAAUGGAUUUGGCAUGGUACUCCAACCUGCUGCAUCAAGAGGUUUAAUUAUUCAGUUUGGGCAUUGAUCACUAGGACUUUUUGUAAUUGUGAUAAUGAUCUUGUUCUUUUUUAUUAGAUUGUUUUAUGUGAUUAGUCAUUGACUCCUUUUUAUGAGUAUUACGUCUUUUUUUUGUUUUUCUUAUUGCAAUUGAGAAUUUAGCCAUUGUGCUUACUCUUUAUGGAGUAUCUAAAGACAAGAAAUCGACACUCCAAUGCUAUGAAAAUUUUCCUAUAAGCUGAUGAUAUGUGGGGAAGAUAUUCAUAGUUCAUCUUUAUUGGCGAUGAUUGCAUAAUACAAACUGUUUAACUCUAAGGAUUACAAAUUGUCGUACAUGUAUUGUCGUAGGCUGUUUUGUUCUAAGGACUAGGAACAACCCAAGAAGUUGUUCAAUUUGCAGUGGCCAUUUGGUUGGACGUUCUUCUUCUCCUUGAUCUCUUUCUCCUCUUCUUAGGAACUUCAUUUUCAUUAUCAGAUUUGAAGAGGGACCACCAUGAGUGGGGUAGUAAAAUGAAUAGAGAAUGGGACAGUGAGCUGGGUAUGUUUUUGGUAUGUGUAUUCUAGAGAGAAAGAGUGAGCUGGGUAUGUUUUUGGUAUGUGUAUUCUAGAGAGAAAGAGUAGCAGUAUGUUUUUGUUUGCUGUGUUUGCCUAAUAUAGUCCUCAUGGUCUUCUCUUUUCAUUUCAUGGAAUCAAGUGUUGAAGUUCUUGUUUGUGUUCUGUAUUUUGUUGAGACGUUGAUUUAGUUAUUCAUUGACUGUACGUAUGUGUUAUGGAUUCUUUGUAGGUUCAACUGGAGUCGACAAGUUCAUGAGUUUUGUUUCAAAUAUCAUUUCCAGAAACGAACAUUCUCGGUUGGUCCAGUCAAAUAUAUUCGAAUGCUAUUUAAGAUAUUUUUUGAUUAAGGGUUAGUAUUUCGUACAUGUGGAUUACUGAAACUUGUAUUAAGAUGUACAAAUAUUAUAAAUCGUAUUAUAGUGUAUAUAUAUUAAAGUGUUGGCUAUUUUCUUGUACAUUGGUGUGAAACUUGUAUAAUUUCAAAUUUGUCAUUCUCAGCUA